UACGGAGGAUGCGAGCGUUAUCCGGAUUUAUUGGGUUUAAAGGGUGCGUAGGCGGGCUUUUAAGUCAGUGGUAAAAAUUCGGGGCUCAACCCCGUCCGGCCGUUGAAACUGGGGGCCUUGAGUGGGCGAGAAGAAGGCGGAAUGCGUGGUAUAGCGGUGAAAUGCAUAGAUAUCACGCAGAACCCCGAUUGCGAAGGCAGCCUUCCGGCGCCCUACUGACGCUGAGGCACGAAAGUGCGGGGAUCGAACAGG
rnacentral:rRNA from 1 species